rnacentral:lncRNA from 1 species
AAAAACCAAACUCAAUUUGAACUUGAAAUUAGAAAAACAAAUCGAGUUGACUUGAAUAACUCGAUUAAUUCAAAUAAUUCGAUUCGUUUAACUCGAAAUUCAAUUUUAUUUUUAUUUUUUUCAAGUCGAAUCGAGUUUUGCUCACCCUUAAUCAAUUUCACUCUAAUGGAAACUUGUUAAACAUCUAACAAUUGAAGAAAUUGACAUGGACUAGUUAAAUCAAGCUCUUGUGAUCAA